UAGGGAAUCUUCCACAAUGGACGAAAGUCUGAUGGAGCAACGCCGCGUGAGUGAAGAAGGGUUUCGGCUCGUAAAACUCUGUUGUUAAAGAAGAACAUAUCUGAGAGUAACUGCUCAGGUAUUGACGGUAUUUAACCAGAAAGCCACGGCUAACUACGUGCCAG
rnacentral:rRNA from 1 species